rnacentral:rRNA from 1 species
UACGUAGGCAGCAAGCGUUGUUCGGAGUUACUGGGCGUAAAGGGUGUGUAGGCGGUUUUCUAAGUCUGGUGUGAAAUCUCCCGGCUCAACUGGGAGGGUGCGCCGAAAACUGGAAGGCUAGAGUGCGGGAUGGGAGAGUGGAAUUCCUGGUGUAGCGGUGAAAUGCGUAGAUAUCAGGAGGAACACCGGUGGUGUAGACGGCUCACUGGACCGUAACUGACGCUGAGACACGAAAGCGUGGGUAGCAAACAGG